CCAGCUCCAAUAGCGUAUAUUAAAGUUGCUGCAGUUAAAAAGCUCGUAGUUGGAUUUCUGGACAUGACGAAUUUGGCCGGCCACGGUUUCGUGUGUUAGUGCUUUGUUCGGUGUCCAUCCUUCCAAUGGCCGCGCGUGGCUCUUCACUGAGUGGCGCGCGGUGUUGGAUCUUUUACUUUGAAAAAAUUAGAGUGUUUCAAGCAGGCUUUAUGCUAUGAAUACAUUAGCAUGGAAUAAUGAUUUAGGACUUCGGUUCUAUUUUGUUGGUUUCUAGGACUGAAGUAAUGAUUGAUAGGGACAGUUGGGGGUGCUAGUAUUCAGCGGCCAGAGGUGAAAUUCUCGGAUUCGCUGAAGACUAACUUAUGCGAAAGCAUUCACCAAGGAUGUCUUCU
rnacentral:rRNA from 1 species